rnacentral:rRNA from 1 species
GAUGAACGCUGGCGGCGUGCUUAACACAUGCAAGUCGAGCGAGAAGUUUUGAAAAGAUUCUUCGGAUGAAAUUUAAAAUGGAAAGCGGCGGACGGGUGAGUAACGCGUAGGCAACCUGCCCCAUACAAAGGGAUAGCAUUUGGAAACGAAUAUUAAUACCUUAUGAAACUUAACUAGUGCAUGCUAGGUAGGUCAAAGAUUUAUCGGUAUGGGAUGGGCCUGCGUCUGAUUAGCUAGUUGGUGGGGUAACGGCUCACCAAGGCGACGAUCAGUAGCCGACCUGAGAGGGUGAACGGCCACAUUGGAACUGAGACACGGUCCAAACUCCUACGGGAGGCAGCAGUGGGGAAUAUUGCACAAUGGGGGAAACCCUGAUGCAGCAACGCCGCGUGAACGAUGAAGGCCUUUGGGUCGUAAAGUUCUGUUCUAGGUGAUGAAAACUGACAGUAACCUAGGAGAAAGCCCCGGCUAACUCCGUG